rnacentral:rRNA from 1 species
CCUACGGGCGGCAGCAGUGGGGAAUAUUGGACAAUGGGGGCAACCCUGAUCCAGCCAUGCCGCGUGUGUGAAGAAGGCCCUCGGGUUGUAAAGCACUUUCAGUGAGGAAGAACGCCUGGUGGUUAAUACCCAUCAGGAAAGACAUCACUCACAGAAGAAGCACCGGCUAACUCCGUGCCAGCAGCCGCGGUAAUACGGAGGGUGCGAGCGUUAAUCGGAAUUACUGGGCGUAAAGCGCGCGUAGGUGGCUUGAUAAGCCGGUUGUGAAAGCCCCGGGCUCAACCUGGGAACGGCAUCCGGAACUGUCAAGCUAGAGUGCAGGAGAGGAAGGUAGAAUUCCCGGUGUAGCGGUGAAAUGCGUAGAGAGCGGGAGGAAUACCAGUGGCGAAGGCGGCCUUCUGGACUGACACUGACACUGAGGUGCGAAAGCGUGGGUAGCAAACAGGAUUAGAUACCCCUGUAGUC